CUCCGGGAAUAAGGGCUGGGCAAGUCCGGUGCCAGCAGCCGCGGUAAUACCGGCGGCCCAAGUGGUGGCCACUGUUAUUGGGCCUAAAGCGUCCGUAGCCGGCCCGGUAAGUCUCUGCUUAAAUCCUGCGGCUCAACCGCAGGGCUGGCAGAGAUACUGCCGGGCUUGGGACCGGGAGAGGCCGGGGGUACCCCAGGGGUAGCGGUGAAAUGCGUUGAUCCCUGGGGGACCACCUGUGGCGAAGGCGCCCGGCUGGAACGGGUCCGACGGUGAGGGACGAAGGCCGGGGGAGCAAACCGGAUUAGAUACCCGGGUAGUCCAGGCUGUAAACUAUGCGCGCUAGGUGUCGGCCUUUGAGGUCGGUGCCGUACCUAACGGGUUAAGCGCGCCGCCUGGGGAGUACAGCCGCAAGGCUGAAACUCAAAGGGAUAGGCGGGGGAGCACACAAGCGGUGGAGCGCCUCGAUUAAUUGGAUAAUAAGCCAAGAAUCUUACCCGGGCUUGACAUGCUAGGGAACCCUGCCGAAAGGUGGGGGUGCCCCGUAAGGGGAGCUCUAGCACAGGUGCUGCAUGGCCGUCGUCAGCUCGUGCCGCAAGGUGUCCGGUUAAUUCCGGUAACGAGCGCAACCCUUGCCCCUAGUUAGAGAUGUCUAGGGGGACUGCCGGGGUAACCCGGAGGAAGGGGAGGACGACGUCAGGUCAUCAUGGCCCUUAUGUCCGGGGCAUCAGAGGCGAUACAAUGGGGUGUACAAACCGAAGCGAAGCCGCGAGGUGGAGCGAAUCGGAGAAAGCACCUCUAAGUACGGAUUGUAGUCUGGAACUGACUACAUGAAGUUGGAAUUGCUAGUAAUGGUGGGUCAGAACACCACCGUGAAUAUGUCCCUGUUCCUUGCACUCACCGCCCGUCACACCAUGGGAGUUGGUUUACUCUGAAGAUUCUGAAUAGGGGUUAAGGAGAAAAUUGACGACUGGGGUGAAGUCGUAACAAGGUAUCCCGACGAGAACGUCGGG
rnacentral:rRNA from 1 species